AUGCCUUAAACUUAUGAGCAAGGAAGAUAACAGUUCAGAGUGAGGCCCAAGUCCUCACUGUCAAUGUGAUACAAAUUUUUGGGCAAAUAAGUUAUCCUUAAGGUAAUUCACCUACUUUACAGGAUAACUGGGACAGAGCAAUCUGUACU
rnacentral:snRNA from 1 species